GGGCUCAGGUAGGGAUAAACAAGAUAGCAUACUUGCAUGGCAUCUAUUGUAAAGUUAAAAUGAGGAUCCAAGGAGAAGAAUGUCAUAAUAUUAGAUCAAGAUGUGCAAGUGUGUAGAAAAUGGAGUAGAAUGCUCCUCUAUUUCAUAAGAUCUCUCUCUAAUUUUUAUUUGAGACAUGGCUAGCAUUUUUUUAGAGAAAUGGACCUUCAUCUGUCCACUUUGUUUAAGUGUCCACUUUUUUUUCUUUUUUGCAGAGCCUUUGUGUCUCAUCUACUAAGCAAUACUUAGAGAUAUAUUCUAAAACCUUAAAACAUGGAGCAUCUAUAUGGUGGAGAUGGAUGACAUGUUUUUGUGUACUUCUAGUGUAGAAGCAGCAUGUGUAUAUGUGGCGUGUAUGUGAUGU
rnacentral:lncRNA from 1 species